CCAAUGUUUGUCUAUGGAGAUUGCAUGGCAGUGUGCUCGGUUUUAUAUACCUGUCAGCAACGGAUUUAGCUGAAAUAGCUGAAUUCAAUCAUUUGAAGGGGUGUCCACAUACUUUUGUAUAUUUGGUCCAGUUGAAUGAUUUCUAUUAUCUAGGAUUUCUGGGUCAUAUUCAUUAGUGCACACUGUAGCAAAACCUUUUGCCACGGAUAACAAAAACGAGCCUAUCUUAUUGGACAACCUUAGCUUCUACCUACCUACCUCCCUUGUACAAUUUGAAAGUAAUGAUCUAUUAUUAUAAUAUGGACAGACUGCUCUCUACUCUUAUCAAAAUACUCUUUUGUUUUAUGCGUUCUUAUGCUCUGUGACCCCUGACCCCACCAAAACAAAUGCCUAAACUCUUUGUCGGUGCAGUGAGGUACUAGUCACACCAAAAUUAACUUUGUCUGUGCAGUGAGGUACUAGUCACA